UGGGGAAUAUUGGACACUGGGCGAAAGCCUGAUCCAGCCAUGCCGCGUGUGUGAAGAAGGUCUUCGGAUUGUAAAGCACUUUAAGUUGGGAGGAAGGGCAGUAAGCGAAUACCUUGCUGUUUUGACGUUACCGACAGAAUAAGCACCGGCUAACUCUGUGCCAGCAGCCGCGGUAAUACAGAGGGUGCAAGCGUUAAUCGGAAUUACUGGGCGUAAAGCGCGCGUAGGUGGUUCGUUAAGUUGAAUGUGAAAGCCCCGGGCUAAACCUGGGAACUGCAUCCAAAACUGGCGAGCUAGAGUAGGGCAGAGGGUGGUGGAAUUUCCUGUAUAGCGGUGAAAUGCGUAGAUAUAGGAAGGAACACCAGUGGCGAAGGCGACCACCUGGACUCAUACUGACACUGAGGUGCGAAAGCGUGGGGAGCAAACAGG
rnacentral:rRNA from 1 species